CGUCGCCGCGGUAAUACGGAGGGUGCAAGCGUUAAUCGGAAUUACUGGGCGUAAAGCGCACGCAGGCGGUCUGUCAAGUCAGAUGUGAAAUCCCCGGGCUUAACCUGGGAACUGCAUUUGAAACUGGCAGGCUAGAGUCUUGUAGAGGGGGGUAGAAUUCCAGGUGUAGCGGUGAAAUGCGUAGAGAUCUGGAGGAAUACCGGUGGCGAAGGCGGCCCCCUGGACAAAGACUGACGCUCAGGUGCGAAAGCGUGGGGAGCAAACAGGAUUAGAUACCCCAGUAGUCCCUGUCUCUUAUACA
rnacentral:rRNA from 1 species